rnacentral:miRNA from 1 species
GCAGAUUCCAGGCACCCACCCUCAGGAUUUUUCUUCCUGGAGUCCUCGGAUGGAUUCCAGAAAUCUGCAUUUUAAC